rnacentral:antisense_RNA from 1 species
UAUUACAAUAGGUGUAGGCUCGUUUGUGAGCCCAUCUAAGUAGAACGUUUCAGAACUUUAGUGAGGCAUGAAACGAUUCGAUGCAGGCAUUAUCUGAGG